rnacentral:rRNA from 1 species
AGAGUUUGAUCCUGGCUCAGGAUGAACGCUGGCGGCGUGCUUAACACAUGCAAGUCGAACGAACCUUCGGGUUAGUGGCGGACGGGUGAGUAACGCGUGAGAAUCUGCCCUCAGGAGGGGGAUAACGGCUGGAAACGGCCGCUAAUACCCCAUAUGCCGAGAGGUGAAAUGAGUUUUCGCCUGAGGAUGAGCUCGCGUCUGAUUAGCUAGUUGGUGGGGUAAGAGCCUACCAAGGCAUCGAUCAGUAGCUGGUCUGAGAGGAUGAUCAGCCACACUGGGACUGAGACACGGCCCAGACUCCUACGGGAGGCAGCAGUGGGGAAUUUUCCGCAAUGGGCGAAAGCCUGACGGAGCAACGCCGCGUGAGGGAUGAAGGCCUCUGGGCUGUAAACCUCUUUUAUCAAGGAAGAAGAUCUGACGGUACUUGAUGAAUAAGCCACGGCUAAUUCCGUGCCAGCAGCCGCGGUAAUACGGGAGUGGCAAGCGUUAUCCGGAAUUAUUGGGCGUAAAGCGUCCGCAGGCGGCCUUAUAAGUCUGUUGUCAAAGCGUGGAGCUUAACUCCAUUUCGGCAAUGGAAACUGUGAGGCUUGAGUGUGGUAGGGGCAGAGGGAAUUCCCGGUGUACCGGUGAAAUGCGUAGAUAUCGGGAAGAACACCAGUGGCGAAGGCGCUCUGCUGGGCCAUAACUGACGCUCAUGGACGAAAGCCAGGGGAGCGAAAGGGAUUAGAUACCCCUGUAGUCCUGGCCGUAAACGAUGAACACUAGGUGUCGGGGGAAUCGACCCCCUCGGUGUCGUAGCCAACGCGUUAAGUGUUCCGCCUGGGGAGUACGCACGCAAGUGUGAAACUCAAAGGAAUUGACGGGGGCCCGCACAAGCGGUGGAGUAUGUGGUUUAAUUCGAUGCAACGCGAAGAACCUUACCAGGGUUUGACAUCCUGCGAAUCCCUUGGAAACUUGGGAGUGCCUUCGGGAGCGCAGUGACAGGUGGUGCAUGGCUGUCGUCAGCUCGUGUCGUGAGAUGUUGGGUUAAGUCCCGCAACGAGCGCAACCCACGUCUUUAGUUGCCAGCAUUCAGUUGGGCACUCUAGAGAGACCGCCGGUGAUAAACCGGAGGAAGGUGUGGAUGACGUCAAGUCAUCAUGCCCCUUACAUCCUGGGCUACACACGUACUACAAUGCUACGGACAAAGGGCAGCAAACUCGCGAGAGCUAGCAAAUCCCAUAAACUGUGGCUCAGUUCAGAUCGUAGGCUGCAACUCGCCUGCGUGAAGGAGGAAUCGCUAGUAAUCGCAGGUCAGCAUACUGCGGUGAAUACGUUCCCGGGCCUUGUACACACCGCCCGUCACACCAUGGAAGUUGGCCACGCCCGAAGCCGUUACUCCAACCCUUGUGGAGGAGGACGUCGAAGGUGGGGCUGAUGACUGGGGUGAAGUCGAAACAAGGUA